ensembl:lncRNA novel transcript
CGUGCGCUGCACCGGCCACGAGAACGCGCUGGAGCGCUGCACCCACUCGGGCUGGGCCCGGCACAACUGCCAGCACCGCGAGGACGCGGGCGUGGUGUGCGCAGGUCUGGCUGACUCUCUUGUACCUAAGGACAAUGGUAAAGUCUUCCCUCUAGCGUCUGAGGCUAAGGAUGCUGAUGGGGGAGCUGAGAGAACAGCCAAGCAGGGGAGAAAGAACAGGCUGUGAUGGGGACCCGCUUCUGUGUUUACACUGAGAUCUCUGGAUUUCCACCCACUCGCUGGGUUUUAGGAGCCCAGCUAUCCUGCUUGCCUCACCUCUUCCAAGCCGUCAUUGACCGAGGCUAUCUCCGGAGGCUGGGCUACUCCUCCUGGGACAUCCACUUAAAUGAUGAGCUAUGUCGCCCCAAAGUCAUGGGACGCUGCCUGAUCUUCAACAUUCCCUAUGGCCACUGUGGCACUAUCCAGCAGGAGCACCUUGGCUCCCUCAGCUACUCUAACUCCAUCAGAGGCCGGAAACGGGGCCACCCUGGCCGAGUCAUUGUGCGGCACAAGGUGCCCAAGCUGAAGUUCACCUGUAGGGCGGACGGCCCAUCCACAGUUGAAAUCAUUCAUGGGGAUGACGCCCCAACAGAGGGUGCUGGCUACACCGUGUCUAUAUCCUUCCUCCAGUCCCCUGAGUCCCAGCAUGUGGGAGGCAUGGUGCCCUACUAUGACAGCCAGAGGAAAGAGGUCUUCCUCCAAGCCACCCUCCACAGCCCCAAUCCCAACCUGAUGCUCUUCGUGGAUACCUGUGUGGCUUCUCCUGAUCCCCAUGAUUUUACAGCCAUCAAGUAUGAUUUGAUCCGGCAGGGGUGCAUCAAAGACAAUACCUACAUCAACCUCCAUCCCCGCCAGAAGAACAUGGCUCAGUUCAAGUUCAAUGUCUUCAGCUUUCUUGACAGCUAUGAUGUGGUAUAUCUGCAGUGUAAGGUUGCAGUGUGCAAGGUGGGGGAUUAUGCCUCUCUCUGCUCCUGGGGCUGUACAGGACAGAGUAGGAGAGGUGCAGGCCCCAUGGAGGCCAAGGAAAAGCAGACUGAGCAUUUCCAAAUGGUGGGGCCACUGGAGAUCCACAAAGUCACUGCUCAGAGGAGGACUCUUGAGUGAUUUCUGCAAUUUUCAUGUAAAUCUGUAGAAAGCAAAGUCUAUUUCUCUUCAGUAAUGUUUGACCAAUCAGACGCUAUCCGCAUAGAGACAGGUCAAAGAAACAGCCAGAGGGGAUUGCUUCUCUGAGGUUUGUUACUAAACAAAUCUUCUCUGAUUACUAAACUUCUAAGGCAAUUACUCUCUUUGCUGCCACAAAUGCUACAUUUUCUAAUUCUUGUCUUAAAGUGUACAAAAUGUUACAAAGAGCAGGGUUAUCUCUCUAUACCGCAUUGUCAAUUUAAAGAUUGUCUUUUUAAGUUGACUGUUUAAUCAUCAGAUGCUAUUAAGUGGAUCUCUGUUUUUAUCCUCUGACGGUACGAGGAUUUAUUUUCAACUCUUGCCAAGAGUCUUAGGUAAAAUAAAAUAAGUGUCUGUCACUCA